AGUGAACGCUGGCGGUAGGCCUAACACAUGCAAGUCGAACGGCAGCACAGUAAGAGCUUGCUCUUACGGGUGGCGAGUGGCGGACGGGUGAGGAAUACAUCGGAAUCUACUUUUUCGUGGGGGAUAACGUAGGGAAACUUACGCUAAUACCGCAUACGACCUACGGGUGAAAGCAGGGGAUCUUCGGACCUUGCGCGAUUGAAUGAGCCGAUGUCGGAUUAGCUAGUUGGCGGGGUAAAGGCCCACCAAGGCGACGAUCCGUAGCUGGUCUGAGAGGAUGAUCAGCCACACUGGAACGGAGACACGGUCCAGACCCCGACGGGAGGAAGAAGGGGGGAAUAUGGGACAAUGGGCGCAAGCCUGAUCCAGCCAUACGGCGGGGGUGAAGAAGGCUUUCGGGUUGUAAAGCCCUUUUGUUGGGAAAGAAAGCAGCAGGUUAAUACCCCGCUGUUCUGACGGUACCCAAAGAAUAAGCACCGGCUAACUUCGUG
rnacentral:rRNA from 1 species